rnacentral:rRNA from 1 species
AGCGAACGCUGGCGGCAGGCCUAACACAUGCAAGUCGAACGAACUCUUCGGAUUUAGUGGCGGACGGGUGAGUAACACGUGGGAACGUGCCUUUUGGUUCGGAAUAACUCAGGGAAACUUGUGCUAAUACCGAAUGUGCCCUUCGGGGGAAAGAUUUAUCGCCAUUAGAGCGGCCCGCGUCUGAUUAGCUAGUUGGUGAGGUAACGGCUCACCAAGGCGACGAUCAGUAGCUGGUCUGAGAGGAUGACCAGCCACACUGGGACUGAGACACGGCCCAGACUCCUACGGGAGGCAGCAGUGGGGAAUCUUGCGCAAUGGACGAAAGCCUGACGCAGCCAUGCCGCGUGAAUGAUGAAGGUCUUAGGAUUGUAAAAUUCUUUCACCGGGGACGAUAAUGACGGUACCCGGAGAAGAAGCCCCGGCUAACUUCGUG